rnacentral:rRNA from 1 species
AGAGUUUGAUCAUGGCUCAGAUUGAACGCUGGCGGCAGGCUUAACACAUGCAAGUCGAGCGGAGACUUCGGUCUUAGCGGCGAACGGGUGAGUAAUACCUAGGAAUCUGCCCAUUAGCGGGGGACAACGUUUCGAAAGGAACGCUAAUACCGCAUACGCCCUACGGGGGAAAGCAGGGGAUCUUUUGACCUUGCACUAAUGGAUGAGCCUAGGCCGGAUUAGCUAGUUGGUAGGGUAAAGGCCUACCAAGGCGACGAUCCGUAGCUGGUCUGAGAGGACGACCAGCCACACUGGAACUGAGACACGGUCCAGACUCCUACGGGAGGCAGCAGUGGGGAAUAUUGGACAAUGGGCGCAAGCCUGAUCCAGCCAUGCCGCGUGUGUGAAGAAGGCCUUCGGGUUGUAAAGCACUUUAAGCGAGGAGGAAAGUUUAUAGGUUAAUACCCUAUAGAAUUGACGUUACUCGCAGAAUAAGCACCGGCUAACUCUGUGCCAGCAGCCGCGGUAAUACAGAGGGUGCAAGCGUUAAUCGGAAUUACUGGGCGUAAAGCGCGCGUAGGCGGUAUGUUAAGUCGGAUGUGAAAUCCCUGGGCUCAACCUAGGCACUGCAUCCGAUACUGGCACACUAGAGUGUGGGAGAGGAAGGUAGAAUUCCAGGUGUAGCGGUGAAAUGCGUAGAGAUCUGGAGGAAUACCGAUGGCGAAGGCAGCCUUCUGGCCUAACACUGACGCUGAGGUGCGAAAGCAUGGGGAGCAAACAGGAUUAGAUACCCUGGUAGUCCAUGCCGUAAACGAUGUCAACUAGCCGUUGGGGACCUUGAGUCUUUAGUGGCGCAGCUAACGCGAUAAGUUGACCGCCUGGGGAGUACGGCCGCAAGGUUAAAACUCAAAUGAAUUGACGGGGGCCCGCACAAGCGGUGGAGCAUGUGGUUUAAUUCGAUGCAACGCGAAGAACCUUACCUGGCCUUGACAUGUCUGGAAUCUUGUAGAGAUACGAGAGUGCCUUCGGGAAUCAGAACACAGGUGCUGCAUGGCUGUCGUCAGCUCGUGUCGUGAGAUGUUGGGUUAA